UCAAUUUUUCUCAUUUCAUAUUUCAUAAAUAAAAAGAAAAUUUCUUCAAACAUUUUUUUGAGAGGAUUAAUAUUCAACAGCAUAGUGAAUUGCUCAAAGGCAAAAAAAAAUUUAAGUUCAUUAGACCCAAUUUAUUCUGUGUCAGAAACCUAUGCUGUGUCAACUAUUUAAUCACAAUCCAAAUUUAGAGCUGAAUCCAGCUUGAAUGUUGUGUCCAUACUUGCCCCAACCGUUCAGGGUUCAACCUCUGUGGUCGUAUAAAGCUGCGUCCUGCGGAGCAUCUGGUUUUUUA
rnacentral:lncRNA from 1 species